AGAGUUCCCCCAAUAAACCUCCUGUACUCAGUCCUCUACCAAGAGUCUGCUUCCGGGGGAAUUUGCCCUAAGAUAGUCGUAACAGGACUGGCCCUAGGAAGGAGAAUCUAAAAUGAUAUUUUGGAGCUCCAUCAUCCACUCGCUGGUUUACAAUGAUCUCAUCAUAGACAGCAGAGAAGAGCAUCUCUCUCAGAGGAGGCACUGAACAGCCAAAUACACAGAAGAACUUGUUCGGUUGACAUCCUACCAUCAGCUUCUGCUAUUGGCCACCUGGAUGCUGGUAAAAUGGGCAGAGAGGUAUAUCAGCCACAACUGUAAACUGGAGAGAACAAAAGCCUCCUAUCCUCUAGGAUUGCUG